rnacentral:rRNA from 1 species
AUUGAACGCUGGCGGCAUGCCUUACACAUGCAAGUCGAACGGUAACGGGCCUUCGGGUGCCGACGAGUGGCGAACGGGUGAGUAAUACAUCGGAACGUGCCCGAUCGUGGGGGAUAACGAGGCGAAAGCUUUGCUAAUACCGCAUACGAUCUACGGAUGAAAGCAGGGGACCGCAAGGCCUUGCGCGGACGGAGCGGCCGAUGGCAGAUUAGGUAGUUGGUGGGAUAAAAGCUUACCAAGCCGACGAUCUGUAGCUGGUCUGAGAGGAUGAUCAGCCACACUGGGACUGAGACACGGCCCAGGCUCCUACGGGAGGCAGCAGUGGGGAAUUUUGGACAAUGGGCGCAAGCCUGAUCCAGCCAUGCCGCGUGCAGGAUGAAGGCCUUCGGGUUGUAAACUGCUUUUGUACGGAACGAAAAGCCUUCUUUUAAUACAGGAGGGUCAUGACGGUACCGUAAGAAUAAGCACCGGCUAACUACGUG